rnacentral:rRNA from 1 species
AGGGUUCCUGAGCAACGAUCGUCGUCUCAGGGUAAGUCGGGACCUAAGCCGAGGCGGAAAAGCGUAGGCGAUGGACAACAGGUUGAAAUUCCUGUACCGGUGUGAAUCGUUUGAUCGAUGGAGUGACACAGUAAGGUAGGUCAGCACGCGAUUGGAAGUGCGUGUUUAAGCAUGUAGGUUGAGCUAUAGGCAAAUCCGUAGCUCUAAAAGCUGAGAUGUGAUGACGAGUUACUAGCGAUAGUAACGAAGUGAUUGAUCCUACACUGUCGAGAAAAGCUUCUAGGUAGAGACACAUCGCCCGUACCAAAACCGACACAGGUAGGCGGGGAGAGAAUCCUAAGGUGCGCGGGAAAACCCUCGUUAAGGAACUCGGCAAAAUGCCUCCGUAACUUCGGGAAAAGGAGGACUCAUGUAGUGUGAAGGGCAGUAACGCGUGGAGCAUGAAUGAGUGGCACAAGAGAGGCGCAAGCGACUGUUUACCACAAACACAGGUGCCUGCUAAAGCGAAAGCUGAUGUAUAGGUGCUGACACCUGCCCGGUGCUGGAAGGUUAAGAGGAGGGGUUAGACUUCGGUCGAAGCUCUGAAUUGAAGCCCCAGUAAACGGCGGCCGUAACUAUAACGGUCCUAAGGUAGCGAAAUUCCUUGUCGGGUAAGUUCCGACCCGCACGAAAGGUGUAACGACUUGCGCACUGUCUCAACGAGGGACCCGGUGAAAUUGAAGUACCUGUGAAGAUGCAGGUUACCCGCGACUGGACAGAAAGACCCCAUGGAGCUUUACUGCAACCUAAGAUUGAACUUAGUUAAUGAAUGUACAGGAUAGGUGGGAGACGUAGAACCUAGGACGCCAGUUUUAGGGGAGUCGCUGUUGGGAUACCACCCUUUCAUUAAUUGAUUUCUAACGGGCCGAGUAACGACCGGCCGGACAGUCUUAGGCGGGCAGUUUGACUGGGGCGGUCGCCUCCUAAAGAGUAACGGAGGCGCCCAAAGGUUCCCUCAGAGCGGACGGAAAUCGCUCGAAGAGUGUAAAGGCAGAAGGGAGCUUGACUGCGAGACGGACAGGUCGAGCAGGGACGAAAGUCGGGCUUAGUGAUCCGGUGGUGCCGAGUGGAAGGGCCAUCGCUCAACGGAUAAAAGCUACCCUGGGGAUAACAGGCUAAUCUCUCCCAAGAGUCCAUAUCGACGGGGAGGUUUGGCACCUCGAUGUCGGCUCAUCACAUCCUGGGGCUGAAGUAGGUCCCAAGGGUUCGGCUGUUCGCCGAUUAAAGUGGUACGUGAGCUGGGUUCAGAACGUCGUGAGACAGUUCGGUCCCUAUCCAUCGCGGGCGCAAGAAACUUGAAGGGGGCUGCUCCUAGUACGAGAGGACCGGAGUGGACGAACCGCUGGUGUACCAAUUAUCCUGCCAAGGGUACAGUUGGGUAGCUACGUUCGGGACGGAUAAACGCUGAAAGCAUCUAAGCGUGAAACCAGCCUUGAGAUGAGGUUUCUCAUAGCAUAAGCUAGUAAGAUCCCAUGUAGACGACAUGGUUGAUAGGCCAGGUGUGGAAGAGCCGUGAGGUUUGGAGCUGACUGGUACUAAUAGAUCGAGGGCUUUACUUA